CAAUAGCGUAUAUUAAUGUUGUUGCAGUUAAAAAGCUCGUAGUUGGAUUUCUGACAGGAGCGACCGGUCCGAGCCUUCGGGUUCGUGUACUUUGUGUUGUCUCUAGUCAUCCUUAUGGAGAGCGUGUCUUUCAUUAAUUUGUUGGGCAUGGGAUCCAUAUCGUUUACUGUGAAAAAAUUAGAGUGUUCAAAGCAGGCAAUCGCUGUGAAUAUAUUAGCAUGGAAUAAUAGGAUAGGACUUUGGUACUAUUUUGUUGGUUUGCAUACCAAAUUAAUGAUCAACAGGAACAGUUUGAGGAUAUUCGUAUGAACAUGUCAGAGGUGAAAUUCUUGGAUUUUGAUCAGACGAACUACUGCGAAAGCAUUUAUCAAGGAUGUUUUCAUUAA
rnacentral:rRNA from 1 species